UCAAGAAACUUCCACAAUGGGCGAAAGCCUGAUGGAGCGACGUCGCGUGAUGGACGAAGUGCUUCGGCACGUAAACAUCUUUUAUGUGGGAUGAAAUUAUUGACAGUACCACAUGAAUAAGGGGCUCCUAACUCUGUGCCAGCAGGAGCGGUAAUACAGAGGCCCCAAGCGUUAUCCGGAAUCACUGGGCGUAAAGGGUGUCGAGGCGGUUGUAUUAGUCGUUCGUAAAAUCUACGAGCUUAACUUGUAGGCGGCGAACGAAACGGUACGACUUGAGGUUUGGAGAGGUGCGUGGAACUCACGGUGUAGGGGUGAAAUCCGUUGAUAUCGUGGGGAACACCAAAGGCGAAGGCAGCGCACUGGCCAAAAUCUGACGCUCACACACGAAAGCUAGGGUAGCGAAGAGGAUUAGAUACCCUUGUAGUCCCUGAGCGGGCUGGCAAGGCGCAU
rnacentral:rRNA from 1 species